rnacentral:rRNA from 1 species
GACGAACGCUGGCGGCGUGCUUAACACAUGCAAGUCGAACGGAAAGGCCCUGCUUUUGUGGGGUGCUCGAGUGGCGAACGGGUGAGUAACACGUGAGUAACCUGCCCUUGACUUUGGGAUAACUUCAGGAAACUGGGGCUAAUACCGGAUAGGAGCUCCUGCUGCAUGGUGGGGGUUGGAAAGUUUCGGCGGUUGGGGAUGGACUCGCGGCUUAUCAGCUUGUUGGUGGGGUAGUGGCUUACCAAGGCUUUGACGGGUAGCCGGCCUGAGAGGGUGACCGGCCACAUUGGGACUGAGAUGCGGCCCAGACUCCUACGGGAGGCAGCAGUGGGGAAUAUUGCACAAUGGGCGGAGCCGGAUGCAGCAACGCCGCGUGCGGGAUGACGGCCUUCGGGUUGUAAACCGCUUUCGCCUGUGACGAAGCGUGAGUGACGGUAAUGGGUAAAGAAGCACCGGCUAACUACGU